UGGAACGUGUAGAGCUGUCACAUGAUCACCUCUUCCCGUGUCAAUGCCAGAGAAAUGAGGUGCGUACAUCUUUUCUACUUUUUUCUGCACUCAUUAUUUUGUAAAAUAUCAUGUUCCUAACAUGUUGUUGCUUAAAAUGUCCCAUUGUAGUUUCAAAUGCAUCCCUUUGAUAUGCUACUAGAAUGCUGUGAGUGCUCUCCCUGAUAUCUAUGUCAAAAUAUUUGAUAUCCCCAGGGCUCUCACAGUCCAGACCCUGCUUGCUGAAUUGCUAAUGCUGAAAUUGUGCUUCCGCAGUACCAGUAUCAAUCUCAUCCAUAUUUGGACAUCAUUGAUUGUCUAAGCAUCUCAGCUGGCAUGCUCUAUGCUUUAAUGCCAUCCAGACAAUCAGUGCUGUCCAAAUAUUGAUGAAAUUGAUAUUGCUAAUCUGCAUUAGCAAUACAGUGAUAGCAGGCUGUCAUAGUGACACCUGGUUUUGGUUAAAUGUCUCGAAAAGAAUCCUUUGAGAAUCAAUGUUUUUCUGUUGGCAGAAAUAGCAGCAAAUACAUAAAUCCAUUUCAAGAUUAUUGGUCCUGUCAUCUUUCUAAAUAACCCCUGUGCAAGUGCUUCAUUAAAAUCAUUGCUGCACUACAUGAUGCAGUCUUUCUAUUCCGGUUUUUAAAAUGGAUAUAUGCUUGCCCCACUGAAGGCCAGUGCACUUCAAACAACGUCUUACCACUAGUCACAGUUUUAUAAUUGUCAUUCUUUGGAUGACUAAGUUGUAACAUCACUAAAUACCGGACUGUUAUUAUUUAAAUCCUAUAUCAUGGACUGUGGCCGAUGAAUCUUUGAGCAGUGAUUUGAGAAGCACUACUGUAGACUGUCAUUAUAAGAGACCUAGUUAUUUGAAAAACAAUAAUUAAAAAAACAUACAUCAGUGAUGGUCACUAUCCCAGUGCAUGGAAUAGUUGAGACAUUGUUUGCAAAAAAAGUGAAGUGAUAAAACUACUUUUUAUGUUGCAGGACAAGGAUGAACUCUGAACCUGACCCAUUUCUAUUCUGAUGCAGUGUCCAAUUCAAAGAUAUGGCAACACUUUUUUUUUGAAAGGCUAAUCUAUUAAAGUAAUAUAUCUACUACAUUUUGUAAUGUUUUACAUAGCGUUUCUUAUAUCUGAGCAAAAAAAUGAAUUAUAUUAUACAAAUUUGUUUAUACAAUAAACACUUUUUUUGCUUAAA